GUCGAGAAUAAUUCACAAUGGGGGAAACCCUGAUGGUGCAACGCCGCGUGGAGGAUGAAGGUCUUCGGAUUGUAAACUCCUGUCAUCUGGGAGUAAGACCUGACGGUGAAUAGCCGGCAGGGUUGAUAGUACCAGAAGAGGAAGGGACGGCUAACUUCGUGCCAGCAGCCGCGGUAAUACGAAGGUCCCAAGCGUUGUUCGGAAUCACUGGGCGUAAAGGGAGCGUAAGCGGCGUGGUAAGUCAGAUGUGAAAUCCCGGGGCUCAACCCCGGAACUGCAUCCGAUACUGCCAUGCUUGAGGGUUGGAGAGGUAGCUGGAAUUCUCGGUGUAGCAGUGAAAUGCGUGGAUAUCGAGAGGAACACUCGUGGCGAAGGCGAGCUACUGGACAACAUCUGACGCUGAGGCUCGAAGGCCAGGGGAGCAAAAGGGAUUAGAAACCCGGGUAGUCC
rnacentral:rRNA from 1 species